UGGUUCUGGUCUAAAGUAGUGCACUACUUAGGGAAUGGGGUUGCCAUGGGGUUCUGGUCUAAAGUAGUGCACUACUUAGGGAAUGGGGUUCUGGUCUAAAGUAGUGCACUACUUAGGGAAUGGGGUUCUGGUCUAAAGUAGUGCACUACUUAGGGAAUGGGGUUCUGGUCUAAAGUAGUGCACUACUUAGGGAAUGGGGUUCUGGUCUAAAGUAGUGCACUACUUAGGGAAUGGGGUUCUGGUCUAAAGUAGUGCAACUACUUAGGGAAUGGGGUUCUGGUCUAAAGUAGUGCACUACUUAGGGAAUGGGGUUCUGGUCUAAAGUAGUGCACUACUUAGGAAUGGGGUUCUGGUCUAAAGUAGUGCACUACUUAGGGAAUAGGGUUCUGGUCUAAAGUAGUGCACUACUUAGGGAAUGGGGUUCUGGUCUAAAGUAGUGCACUACUUAGGGAAUAGGGUGUAAUUGGAGAUGUACACUGGCUGUUUUUUUUACUUUCUGUAAGGCAAAGAAAAAAGAAAACGUACAAAAAAAUUGACUUUGUAAAUAAAAUCUUAACAUUUUG